rnacentral:rRNA from 1 species
GAUGAACGCUGGCGGCGUGCCUAAUACAUGCAAGUCGAGCGAACAGACGAGGAGCUUGCUCCUCUGACGUUAGCGGCGGACGGGUGAGUACACGUGGAUAACCUACCUAUAAGACUGGGAUAACUUCGGGAAACCGGAGCUAAUACCGGAUAACAUGUUGAACCGCAUGGUUCAACAGUGAAAGACGGUCUUGCUGUCGCUUAUAGAUGGAUCCGCGCCGCAUUAGCUAGUUGGUAAGGUAACGGCUUACCAAGGCAACGAUGCGUAGCCGACCUGAGAGGGUGAUCGGCCACACUGGAACUGAGACACGGUCCAGACUCCUACGGGAGGCAGCAGUAGGGAAUCUUCCGCAAUGGGCGAAAGCCUGACGGAGCAACGCCGCGUGAGUGAAGAAGGUCUUCGGAUCGUAAAACUCUGUUAUUAGGGAAGAACAAAUGUGUAAGUAACUAUGCACGUCUUGACGGUACCUAAUCAGAAAGCCACGGCUAACUACGUG